GCCCGGUUAGCUCAAUCGGUAGAGCGUGAGACUCUUAGGAGUACACGAAAUCUCAAGGUUGCGGGUUCGACCCCCGCAUCGGGCU
rnacentral:tRNA from 2 species